rnacentral:rRNA from 1 species
GACAGAGGUGCCAAGCGUUAGGCGGAAUCACUGGGCUUAAAGCGUGUGUAGGCGGGUCGUUAAGUACCUUGUGAAAUCCCACGGCUCAACCGUGGAACUGCUCGGUAUACUGGCGAUCUUGAGCCACUUAGGGGCUACCGGAACAAAUGGUGGAGCGGUGAAAUGCGUAGAUAUCAGGAGGAACACCGAUGGCGAAGGCAGGUCUCUGGGCCACUACUGACGCUGAGAAGCGAAAGCAUGGGGAGCGAACAGG